CAUGACAGCUGGGGACGUCGGGGGUGGUGGCCAACAACAGCCAAGCCUGUGCACAGUUCCUGGAGCAGUAUUUCCACCAGGCUGACCUGGCUGAGUUCAUGCAGCUCUUUGGUAGCAGCUUUGCCCAUCGCUCCC